ensembl:lncRNA
CAUUUAAAUACUGAACCUAAUAUUUUGAAUAGUUGCAUUAUAUUGAUUAUAAAACUGUUCCGAGGGAAACUGCAAUUUAUUUUACAGUUAAAGCGAUCUCUGGCUGCAAAAGCUUUUAAAACCCCUGCGAUAAAUAACAAGCCAAACAAUUCAAGGUAUAGAUAACAAGCUAAAAACUAAAUUACAUAAUCUAUAUGGUGAGUUAAAUAGAUUUUAAUCCAGAACUUUAACCAUAUUUGUGUAGAGGAAAAAAAGUUAUUGAUUAUUCAAAUUUAAUUUCCACUCUAAUGAGCAUAUUAUAACACAGCUACACUAUAAUGCUUUUGAGAGACUCGCCCAGAUCAUUUAACAAAAAAGCAAGGCUGAAUCACACCACAAAUUAAGUUCAUGAUUAUUCUGACUGUUAGGAUUAUGAUGAAGAAUGUGGAUUAAAUGUCUUACCAGUGACUCGGACAUGGAUUGAGUUCAUUCCUGAUCCUGUGACAUUCUUUGGAAGAUAUCUUGUAAAUGAGUACACGCAACUGUAGGUCCCAGAGUCCCGUAAUGAAAUAUUCCUCAAAGUGAAGGUGUGCUCAUCUUUAUUUACAAGUAGUUCUAAUCUCUCUCCAACACCAUUUUUACACAAAUACAUGUGAAUUUCUGUAUUUGAGCUCUGAAUGUUAGAGAUGAGACACUUUAACUCUAAAUUUUCACCAACUUUUGCUGUGGAGGGUCCAAAAAUUUGUGCUGGAAAAAUCUCCAAAGCAUCACCUGUUGACCAAAAAUAAUACAAAAAAGUGAC